rnacentral:rRNA from 1 species
GAUGAACGCUGGCGGCGUGCCUAAUACAUGCAAGUCGAGCGAACAUAUGAGGAGCUUUCUCUUCUGACGUUAGCGGCGGGCGGGUGAGUAACACGUGGAUAACCGACCUAUAAGACUGGGAUAACGUCGGGAAACCGGAGCUAAUACCGGAUAAUAUAUUGUACCGCUUGGUUCAAUAGUGAAUGACGGUUUUGCUGUCACUUAUAGAUGGAUCCGCGCUGCAUUAGCUAGUUGGUAAGGUAACGGCUUACCAAGGCAACGAUGCGUAGCCGACCUGAGAGGGUGAUCGGCCACACUGGAACUGAGACACGGUCCAGACUCCUACGGGAGGCAGCAGUAGGGAAUCUUCGGCAAUGGGCGAAAGCCUGACCGAGCAACGCCGCGUGAGUGAAGAAGGUCUUCGGAUCGUAAAACUCUGUUAUUAGGGAAGAACAAAUGCGUAAGUAACUAAACGCGUCUUGACGGUACCUAAUCAGAAAGCCACGGCUAACUACGUG